AUAUAUUAAUCCUGGGCUACACAAAAAUUCCACAUCUUAUAAUUCAUAGUACAUAUUUAGAUGUCUUUUUCUUUCCUAUAUUCAUCCUCAUAUCCUACACUUUAAUGUGACAACAACUAGAAAUCAGAUAAAAGAUCAAAUUAGGAAAUAUCAAUUGCCUUUAAAGAAAAUGAUUUUAAUUGUUCUGUUCUUUCUAUAUUUCAAUAUAUGGAACACUGAGGCCCAUCCAGCCUGUGUGCUUUCAGAUUUUCUGUUUCAAACAGAAAAAUUUCAUAGGUCUUGCAAAAGAAAAUCGGUACUGUCUUGCUGUCGCACAUCAGCAGGUUUCACUGGUGAAAGUUGGAAAGUUGGAAAUCUGAAAUCUUAUUAAUGUAAUUAUAGGAUCUAUGGAUCAUCAUCCAGACUGCAUUGAUAUUAAAACUGAAGAUUCCUUAAAAAAGAAAGAAGGAAAAUAAAUUCUUAACCUAAUGCUGAUCUAAUUUUUUGUUUGUUUCUUCUGAGAUCUUUGAACUCAAACAUAUUAUCCACUCACAAAUACUUUAGACAGAAUGCAAAUUUUUGCCCUAGGUUAGUCAGUCAGAUAUGACAAUAUCUCCACUAUGUGGGAGGGAGUAAAAUCUGUCUCAGAAAUGUCUUUUAAUAUAUUUCCAUUACUGCAUCUAUUUCUGAUGAAACUAAACGAAUUUUGAACCACAGAAAGAUCUGCCAAGAGUUCUGGUUUUGGAGUACUGUACAUAAACGAGAAAUUGCCACUGGAAAACCAAAAACAGAUGGAUGUUUUAAUCUGUAGCCAUUUUUCCAUCAUCCACAUUGUAAUGUGCCCCAUAAAUAUUAUUUUAGGAAAACUGAAUAGUACAACUAAAAAUACAGUAAGAGCAGCUGAAGUAUAUUAAUGAUAUUUUAUAGUCCUUGUUACAAGAUUAAAUACACCUCCAGUGUAUCUGAUUUUACUUUAUAUAAAGUCAGUUAUUUUUGAGGGCUGCUCUGAAAGUAAUGCCUCCUUUUUUAUUAUGUUGGCACAUGAUGUCAGAGGCAGAUGUUUGCAGAAUGGCAAUAUAGACUGAACUUUCUGCAAGUUUUCCAUUCCAUUUUGUUGCAGUGCAACAGGUGGCAGCAGAGCGGUAGUCAAACAGUGAAUGUGAGCACAGCGAGGAGGUGAGUGGUGCAUCUCAGCAGUGAUGACAGUGGCAAUGUUUCAUCUCUGCUGGUGCAAUUUUUUACAAGCAUGGCAUGCAGUCUCUUGUUCAUUGUUAUAAAAAAUGCAAAUCUAAUGGUGGUGUCUUUGUUGAAAAAGUAUUUUGUAGCUGAGAAUUUGCUCUAUCAAAUAGUGUUUUUGUGCUCUUUGUAUCUGUUGUAGUUUCCAUGGAAACGAGUAGGAGACUUUUCUUUCAGAGCAACCUAUGUAAUUUGUAUCUGCUUUAUAAUUCUAAAUGCUUCCCCAACCUAAAUCUGCUGAAGUAAGUAGAAAAAGUCCACUGGAUUUCAAGUAGAUUUAGAUUAAAACUUCUUGGAAGUUUCACUGGAUUUGAAAGUUUCAAUAUUCAUUUAUGCUCCAAAACAAUAUAAUGACUAGUUCAGUGAAAAGAUACUUCUGAAAUGCUGUACUUCCCUAUGAAAUUGUGGUUUGUUAAUCUUUUUUUUUUUUUUUCUUUUUUUCCUAUAUAGCCACUUAAGACUACGGGAAAGAAGUGAAGCCAAACAUUUCUGGGAAUGGGACUUUCAGGAGAGCUGGGAAACAAAAGACUUUUAGAGCAACAAGAAGCUAUAACCAGCCCUGCCAAGUGAUUCCCCAAAGGAUCUGGUACAGAUAAGAGAGGAUCCAUGCAGGAUGGAACUUGGAUUUCUGAGCUUAAGGAAACUGCUCCCUACAGAAACUUCUGGACAUAGCAGCCAUAGGAUCAGCACCACCAGUUCAGCACCACUAGAACCUUCACACUUCUCACCAGACUGAAAAUAGAGCCAGGACACAAACACCACAGAGGUCCAUGUGCCACAUGGAACAGCAUAUCUGUGAGAAAAGUGACAGGCUGAAAAAGAUGAACAAUAUGAAACUAUCAUAACAGAAAGGAGAGAUGGAUUAGUGUUCUCCAACAGAAAACUUCUUCUUUUGGGAAACAUAAAACAGCUUCCAGGGCAACAAAGAAGCAGACAGAUGUACUUACAGAUGAAAACAAUUUGUAAAUUUCUACUCAACUUACCAAGCAGGAGAAAUGGAUGAAUGUUCAUCUAGUCCUCUUGGCUGAAAGAGAAUCCCCUCUGAUUUUUAUUCCUGGAAGCUGUUUGGAGAAAUUUCGGAGGAACAACUGCUUGACUGCUAAAGCAGUUUCCUGGAUUACUGGUGUUUAGCAGCUUCACCUAAACUGGUUACAGUCAGCAGCCCCAAAUCCCAUAAGCAUCUUGAGAGUUAGCUGCAGAAAGUGACAUAACUGCAAGUAGAAACUUCAAGUGUUCUGAGCACAUAGACUUUUCAAAAUGUGUUUUCCAGUUGGUUGAAAAUAGUAGGCAAAUUAAGAGAUGUUUUAACCUGUUUGUGAAGAUCUAUACAGCAGAUCUAUUGUCUCUCUCCAGCUUUUCAAUGCUCUGAUACCAAAUUACCUGAAAGAGGUUUAAUCUGUCCUGCCACUAGUUCACACUUCAGCUGGAUCCCAAAGCUUUGUAAGGUUGGUAGGAGCAGAUCAGAGGAAGUUCAGAAUUUUGCCCUUCACUCCCUCUCCACUGCUCUGUGUUCCAGCCUCUCACUUGUUAUCUUUCCCUGUAUUGAUGCUUUCCUUAAAUGUUUUUCCUCUUAAUGACAAUGAUCAAUUUCCCUGCCAGUAUACAAACACUGAAAUGUGGAAAGAGAAUAAGGAUAGUGUACAGAGGUAUGUGAAAUGUGAUACUUAAAAGCAAAACAAAAGUGUGGACAAGGAAUUAUCACCAAUAUCUUGACUGAAAAGGCAAAAAAAAACUUUUUUGAGGCACAUGCAUUAUAAAUGGCAGCCUUUGUAUUUACUGAUACAAAAGCUUAGCUGCAUCCAGACCUCUUGUGGACUACUGCAGGAGCAGCUGGAGAUUCUUUGCUUUGGUUCCUUAAUUAAUAUCUCGCUGCUUUCAGUUUAUUUGCACAGCAGCAAAGCUUUAAAAGAAAUGUGUUGUAGCUUCAGUGCUAAGUGAAGGCUGAGAUCCACGUUCUGUUUACCCUGGCUUUUGUUUGGCUGGGAGUACCACAUACAUUUAGCUAUACAAAAUUUUUAACCUUCUUUCAAAGUAGCUUCUUAGAAUGAUUUGUAUUGUCAUUGUGAGAUUCUUGGGUGGAGGGUAUAGGUAGGGCAUGUCUGUGUUUCUUCCUGUCCCUUAAUCUAUUAAUGAAACACUUGAGCACACUCAGUCAAUAUUGUCUUGAGGCAUUUGGGGACUCACAGCCAGCUGCUUUAUGGCUGGAUAAUACCCAAGGCAAAUCUAGAGCAAGAUUGACUUCAGAGGGCUGAAGGGGACUAUAGCAUAGAAGGAACAAAACCUAGAUAAGUGAGAGAGUUGAAGAACUUUCUGUCACUUAGUCACGUUUACCACUUAAGCAUUUCUUUUUCCCAUCUCUACAUACUGCAGUUUUUUGCCUUUCAACGGGGCAUUGUAGCCAAAUUAAAUAGAAAUUACCAUACUUAUUAAAUGGCAAUUAGGGUUUGUUUGCUGCAUUGCAUUUCUUUCAAAUUAAUGUACUAUUGCUAUAUUGGUGAACAGUUAAACCAUUUGAUGUGGUUGAAUGUGCACAUUAAUAUAAUUGUAAAGCAUAAUGAUUACCCAUUCUAUUACUUGUGCAUUGUAAUGCUGAAUUAAUUUAUGCCAGUUAUAGUUGAUUACUAUGCUUAUUAACAUCAGUAAGUGCUCUUUAACAAUCAGCUGAGAUCUAACACUAACUGCCUUGUUAGAGCUAAAUUAAGUGCUGGAGAUACUCUGCUCACUCUGUUACCCUAUCCAGUUUCACUGUAGUUUUCUUCCCUCUACCUAGUAACCACAGAAGCUGGAUUAACUGCAGCAAUUAUAUGCCUCAUUUGCAACAAACAAUACUAGCUGGCUGCUGGUGGUUUCUGUGCCACAGGUGCACGUAGCUGUUACAGCUGCCUCAGCAGAGAGGGAUACAGCAAAGCCUCCUCUCUACAGAGCAGCUAAUCUCAGCUGUAAAUAGAUGUUUCAGCCUGCUAAUGAUGAGGCACGAGAGGCAAUGUUGACACGCCCCAUAAAGCUGCAGAGCAAGGCACAAUAAAAGCUGUUGUCUUCUGAUGAUGAACAUAAGAACCAGAAUAUAUGCUUUAUAAAAAAAAUUCUACUUAAGGAAACUACAAUACCUAUGAUUAAGCUAAACAAUGCAGAACAUAUAUUUCUAUUGUUCUUGACUUUUACCUAUAGUACAUGGCUUCGUGUAAAUAGGCAUUGAAUUCCAGGUGUAUCAUAUCAAUUUAUCUGAUAAUUAAAUGGAAGUUUAUUCAAU
rnacentral:lncRNA from 7 species